rnacentral:rRNA from 1 species
CCUACGGGCGGCAGCAGUGGGGAAUAUCGCACAAUGGGGGAAACCCUGAUGCAGCAACGCCGCGUGAGUGAAGAAGUAUUUCGGUAUGUAAAGCUCCAUCAGCAGGGAAGAAGCUGACGGUACCUGAAUAAGAAGCCCCGGCGAACUACGUGCCAGCAGCCGCGGUAAUACGUAGGGGGCCAGCGUUAUCCGGAUUUACUGGGCGUAAAGGGAGCGCAGACGGCAGUGCAAGUCUGGAGGGAAAGCCCGGGGCCCAACCCGGGAACUGCUGUGGAAACUGGGGGGCUAGAGUACGGGAGGGGCAGGCGGAAUUCGUAGUGUAGCGGUGAAAUGCGUAGAUAUGAGGAGGAACACC